GACAUACCUAUAACUGUUGCUUCGGCGG
rnacentral:rRNA from 1 species